rnacentral:rRNA from 1 species
CAGCCGCCGCGGGAAUACGGAGGGGGCUAGCGUUGUUCGGAAUUACUGGGCGUAAAGCGCACGUAGGCGGCUAUGUAAGUUAGAGGUGAAAGCCUGGAGCUCAACUCCAGAACUGCCUUUGAGACUGCAUCGCUUGAACGUCGGAGAGGUGAGUGGAAUUCCGAGUGUAGAGGUGAAAUUCGUAGAUAUUCGGAAGAACACCAGUGGCGAAGGCGGCUCACUGGACGACUGUUGACGCUGAGGUGCGAAAGCGUGGGGAGCAAACAGGAUUAGAUACCCGGGUAGUCCCUGUCUCUUAUAC